rnacentral:rRNA from 1 species
UACAGAGGGUGCAAGCGUUGUUCGGAAUUAUUGGGCGUAAAGCGCGUGUAGGCGGCCUAGCAAGUCGGGUGUGAAAGCCCUUAGCUCAACUGAGGAAGUGCGCCCGAAACUGCUGGGCUUGAGUGCCGGAGAGGGUGGCGGAAUUCCCCAAGUAGAGGUGAAAUUCGUAGAUAUGGGGAGGAACACCGGUGGCGAAGGCGGCAUCCUGGACCGGCAUUGACGCUGAGGAGCGAAAGCCAGGGGAGCAAACGGG